AGGGCCAUAGCACUUUGAAACAUUAGUCUCCCGUAAGAUCACCGAAGUUAACCAACGUCGAGCCUGGUCAGUUCAUAGAUUAGUGACCGCAUGGAAAUAGCAGGUGCUGUAAG